rnacentral:rRNA from 1 species
AGUGAACGCUGGCGGUAGGCCUAACACAUGCAAGUCGAACGGCAGCACAGUAAGAGCUUGCUCUUACUGGUGGCGAGUGGCGGACGGGUGAGGAAUACAUCUGAAUCUACUUUUUCGUGGGGGAUAACGUAGGGAAACUUACGCUAAUACCGCAUACGACCUACGGGUGAAAGCAGGGGACCUUCGGACCUUGCGCGAUUGAAUGAGCCGAUGUCGGAUUAGCUAGUUGGCGGGGUAAAGGCCCACCAAGGCGACGAUCCGUAGCUGGUCUGAGAGGAUGAUCAGCCACACUGGAACUGAGACACGGUCCAGACUCCUACGGGAGGCAGCAGUGGGGAAUAUUGGACAAUGGGCGCAAGCCUGAUCCAGCCAUACCGCGUGGGUGAAGAAGGCCUUCGGGUUGUAAAGCCCUUUUGUUGGGAAAGAAAAGCAGCAGGUUAAUACCCCGCUGUUCUGACGGUACCCAAAGAAUAAGCACCGGCUAACUUCGUG